ACUACAAUCAUGUGGAAUCUUUCAGAUUUUUCUCUGAAGAAUUCGUUGUUGAUAUUAGCUUUCCAUUUACUCAGCUUUCGUUUUUCAUUAUAAUAAAUAUGAAAUUUUCUUCAAAAAUAUAUCUGAAAUAGAGUUUUUUAUCAAGUCUUUGUCUGGAAUUGAUAUGGAUUCUAAUAAAUUCGUAGAUACUAUUUUUUUACAUAAUGAAUUUAGUUUCCUCCAAAAUCUCAUCAAGAAAGUUUUGACUUUAACAACACUCAUCGUGCAUUUAAGGAAGCACGAGGAGAGUCGGGUCUUUCUUUUAUAUCGAGCAUUCUUUGUGAAAUGGAAAUGGCCAUUAACCAUCUUAAGGGGUGCAUUCUUUGUGAGUUGCUAUAAGGCAUGUCAGGAAGGACUGUCGGUGGUGGAGCCUCCCUUUUAAAGCACCUUAUAGUCAAAUACGUGGAAGCAAAAGAAAAAUUUUGAAGCAUACGUGGAAGCACCAAAAUAUUGAUCUGGAAAAGUGACAUCGCUUGUGCUCGAUCAAUAUUACUAGUAGAAUAUUCAUGAAUGUUUCUUUUUCACUCAACCCAGGGUUGCAAGGUUAUCAGCUUCCACCAUAAGCGCGAUCGGAAGCUAGCAAAGUUCUCAGCCAAUAGCGUGGCCGAAAAAAAAAAGUGUCUCUUGUGUAUUUAAUACUUAUGUGUAUACUUUUAAGAUUCAAAGGUAAGCGUCGCAAAGCAAUCAUCGUCCAAAACAAUGACAGGAAUUGGUAUGAAAUUUGGUAUAAAAUGCAAAGGCAUAAGUGUGUAUCCUAAUGGUACCCUUUCAGGUUUAAAAAAGAAAGAGAUUCCUAAUUCUAAAGCUCCUAGCAAUGUCUCGGCUGAUAAGCUCUUGGAGUUUGGUUCUUCAUGGGGCUUGGAGUUUUCAUCUCAAAAGGUUAAUCGUAAAAAAAUAUUUAACGAUCUUGUAAAAAAUCACGAUGAUUUAAUUAUAAAAGAUGUUGAGGAGUAUGUUAAUUGACAAUGGUCACCCAUUGUUGUCUGCAAGUUGCUCCUGAUUUGUUAGAUAUCACAAGUUGUUAGUUUUCACAAAUUGUGUCUUCUUUUGUUGGUACUCUUUGUAUUCUUAGAAACUUCUUUGAUUUAGUUGUUUUUUGUUGUUCUGGGCUUUUCA